CAUCAGUCAAAGGGAAUGCAGUUUGUCUGUGUUUUGGCUUAGACUGGCAAAGAGGAAAUUAAAUUCUUCAUAGGAUUAUUAAACCAUCCUAAAAAAAAUGGAACAUUUAAGUGAGAAUAGGAAAAACAUGAAGCAGAAGAGGAAGACAAAUGAGAAAGGCAUGCAUGCAAAACUAAACCCAACAGCCAUUAUUAGGUGACUUCUCACAUCUGGGUUUCGGGAGAAGCAGAAAGCUGAUGAGCCAAUUGACCAUAGGGAUUGCCUAUACGGAUGUUUUAAAGAUGUUGGCAAGAAUGAAGUAAAUCACCUCUUGAGGCUUUGAAGAAAGAGGAAAUUCCGGAAAUCUGAGUGAAUAGGAGUCAGACAUAGCAGUUAAUUCAAGAGGAAUCCAUUUGAAUUAAAAAUAUGAAGAAACCCAAAUGGUGGAUGUUUUUGGAUGUAGUUAAAAACAAAACAAUGUUGGAAACACAGGCUUGAUUUGCCUUUCAUUAUUUAAAAAUAAAAAUUGCCCAACUUUUUUUUUCAA